rnacentral:rRNA from 1 species
GACGAACGCUGGCGGCGUGCUUAACACAUGCAAGUCGCACGGUAAGGCCCUUCGGGGUACACGAGUGGCGAACGGGUGAGUAACACGUGGGUGAUCUGCCCUGCACUUCGGGAUAAGCCUGGGAAACUGGUCUAAUACCGGAUAGGACCCUGGGAUGCAUGUACUGGGGGGGAAAGCUUUUGCGGUGUGGGAUGGGCCCGCGGCCUAUCAGCUUGUUGGGGGGGUGAUGGCCUACCAAGGCGACGACGGGUAGCCGGCCUGAGAGGGUGACCGGCCACACUGGGACUGAGAUACGGCCCAGACUCCUACGGGAGGCAGCAGUGGGGAAUAUUGCACAAUGGGCGCAAGCCUGAUGCAGCGACGCCGCGUGAGGGAUGACGGCCUUCGGGUUGUAAACCUCUUUCAGCACCGACGAAGCGCAAGUGACGGUAGGUGCAGAAGAAGGACCGGCCAACUACGUGCCAGCAGCCGCCGUAA